GGGUUGUGAGGUUAAGCGACUAAGCGUACACGGUGGAUGCCCUGGCAGUCAGAGGCGAUGAAGGACGUGCUAAUCUGCGAUAAGCGUCGGUGAGGUGAUAUGAACCGUUAUAACCGGCGAUUUCCGAAUGGGGAAACCCAGUGUGUUUCGACACACUAUCAUUAACUGAAUCCAUAGGUUAAUGAGGCGAACCGGGGGAACUGAAACAUCUAAGUACCCCGAGGAAAAGAAAUCAACCGAGAUUCCCCAGUAGCGGCGAGCGAACGGGGAGGAGCCCAGAGCCUGAAUCAGUGUGUGUGUUAGUGGAAGCGUCUGGAAAGGCGCGCGAUACAGGGUGACAGCCCCGUACACAAAAAUGCACAUAUUGUGAGCUCGAUGAGUAGGGCGGGACACGUGGUAUCCUGUCUGAAUAUGGGGGGACCAUCCUCCAAGGCUAAAUACUCCUGACUGACCGAUAGUGAACCAGUACCGUGAGGGAAAGGCGAAAAGAACCCCGGCGAGGGGAGUGAAAAAGAACCUGAAACCGUGUACGUACAAGCAGUGGGAGCCUCUUAAUGGGGUGACUGCGUACCUUUUGUAUAAUGGGUCAGCGACUUAUAUUCUGUAGCAAGGUUAACCGAAUAGGGGAGCCGAAGGGAAACCGAGUCUUAACUGGGCGUUAAGUUGCAGGGUAUAGACCCGAAACCCGGUGAUCUAGCCAUGGGCAGGUUGAAGGUUGGGUAACACUAACUGGAGGACCGAACCGACUAAUGUUGAAAAAUUAGCGGAUGACUUGUGGCUGGGGGUGAAAGGCCAAUCAAACCGGGAGAUAGCUGGUUCUCCCCGAAAGCUAUUUAGGUAGCGCCUCGUGAAUUCAUCUCCGGGGGUAGAGCACUGUUUCGGCAAGGGGGUCAUCCCGACUUACCAACCCGAUGCAAACUGCGAAUACCGGAGAAUGUUAUCACGGGAGACACACGGCGGGUGCUAACGUCCGUCGUGAAGAGGGAAACAACCCAGACCGCCAGCUAAGGUCCCAAAGUCAUGGUUAAGUGGGAAACGAUGUGGGAAGGCCCAGACAGCCAGGAUGUUGGCUUAGAAGCAGCCAUCAUUUAAAGAAAGCGUAAUAGCUCACUGGUCGAGUCGGCCUGCGCGGAAGAUGUAACGGGGCUAAACCAUG
rnacentral:rRNA from 1 species